rnacentral:rRNA from 1 species
CGUCUCAGGGGGAUAAUCGUCGGAAACGGCGUCUAAUACCCCGUAUGAAGUUGGACGGCAUCGUCUGGUUUUGAAAGAAUAUCGGAGACGGAUGGGCAUGCGGCGCAUUAGCUGGUUGGCGGGGUAACGGCCCACCAAGGCGACGAUGCGUAGGGGUUCUGAGAGGAAGGUCCCCCACACUGGUACUGAGACACGGACCAGACUCCUACGG